rnacentral:rRNA from 7 species
UUGACCUCGGAUCAGGUAGGGAUACCCGCUGAACUUAAGCAUAUCAAUAAGCGGAGGAAAAGAAACCAACCGGGAUUGCCUCAGUAACGGCGAGUGAAGCGGCAAGAGCUCAAAUUUGAAAGCUGGCCCCUUCGGGGUCCGCGUUGUAAUUUGCAGAGGAUGCUUCGGGUGCGGCCCCUGUCUAAG